GUCAAGACAGUUUCAAUGCGCCAAUACCUUGGGAAAUUGAAAUCAAACGCAUAUAUGAAUAGGCAUGAAGUAC